ACUUCAAGUCAUGGGGGUGGAGUACCGGAGCAUUUUUCUACUUCUCUAAAAGGCCAAAAUCUUGCUUUAUUCCUUACUGAUGUCAAGCAGAAGAUGUUGGUUUAUGAGGUGGAUCUGCUCGAAGGAAAACAGAUUUCCUCGCUCUUGGCAUGAGGUGGAAAGGAGUUUAGGUUGCCGACCCCUGGUCCAGCUCUUCCCGGGGAUCCCGAGGAGUUCCCAGGCCAUCCGGGAGACAUAGUCUUCCCAACAUGUCCUGGGUCUUCCGUGUGGCCUCCUACCGGCAGGUUUCGCUGUCAAAGAGGCAGCUGCUACUUUCUUGGAUCCUCCAUGGCUUCACUCAGAGACACUGGCGGUCACCACACCCCUCUGACUUUCAG